GUAGCCGGCGGGCUGGCAGUGAGACUGACUGCGUCGGGGUUGAGACUGGGUGGAUGAGGCUCACCCCGGCGGGGAGAAGGGACGAGGAGGGGCGGACAGCGGAAGGUCCGGGAGUGUCCGCCAUAAAGUCGUUUGAGCUGAGUCAUUGAAAGCAGCCAGCUACAAACAGACACAUUCCAGGCAGUGGAGAAAGAGGAGAAAAAUGCCCCCUAACUUCUCAUCAGAAAAACAAAGGCCUAAUGAAAAUGGAAAGUUGUCUUUAAAGUGCUGAAGGGGGAAAAAAAACCUUCAUGCUAAAUAUGCUUCACGUAUGAGGAUGAACUCAAGUUUUAACUUCUAGUCAUGGCGAAUGAUCGCAGGAGAGCACAGACUGGACCCUGCUACGAUCUCUCUUGGAGUGGAUCAGACUGAUGAUCACCAACAACCAACUCAUUCCCGGAUAAGGAAGAAGAGAGUGUCACCUACUUCAGUGUGGUUUCAACCCUACUUCUGCAUCUUAAAGACACUGUAUGGUUUCAGCAGUAGUGCCCCUGUUCAUUAGUCCCCCUGAUGUUUUCAUUCCUCAUCUCAUCUUUUUCUUAGCAGCAUUCAAUGAAUCCUUCAUUCUAGAAACACUCUAUAUCUUUGGUUUUCAUGAGACCAUUCUCACCUUGUUUUGUCCUGUGACUUUUUUGAAAAAAACAAAAACAAAAAACCCUUUUUUUCUUUUUAAAUUCUGGUAAAAAACACAAUGAAAAUUUGCUAUCUUAACCAUGUUGAAAUGUGCAGUUAGUAAAGUACAUUCACAUUGUGGUGCAAGCCAUCACUACCAUCCAUCACUAGAACCCUUUUCAUCUUGCAGAUCUGAAACUCUACCCAUUAAACGACUUCCCAUCUUCCCAUCCCCACAGCUCCUAGCAACCAACAUUCUACUUUCUCUAUCAGUUUGACUACUCUAGGUACCUCAUAUGAGUAGAAUCAUACAGCAUUUAUCCUUCUCUGCCUGGCUUAUUUCACUUGUAUAAUGUCCUCAAGGUUCAUUCAUGUUGUAGCAUGCAUCAGAACUUCCUCCCCUUUUAAAGGCUGGAUAAUAUUUCAUGGUAUGUUUAGAUCACAUUCUGUUUAUCCAUUCAUCCAUCAGUGAACACUUGUGCUCCUUCCAACUUUGGGCUGUUGGGUGUCCUGCCACUGUUGCUCCUAGUGCUCAAUCUCGUUUAUUCCCUCCUAAUCAAGUGUACAACGUUGGACACUGUGCAGGAUGAUGCCACUUCAUCUUGGAUGCUAAUCUGCCAUGUUGACUUCUGAUUAACCCCAGGCCCAGGAAUGCCUCAAGAUUUCUACUUUACUUACUGUUGCUUGUGUAAGCCAAGACAACCUUGAUGUUAUCAUAAACAUGUACUUACCUAAGUCCUGUCCUUUGGCAAAUUAUGGGCUAUGAGACACAGCAUUCUUGCCUUUCCCUGAGGGGUCAAUUUCAGCGAUCCUACACAUUCCUUCUGAAGCACUUAUGCUCUUUCUAUAUGGUAUGUAAGCUCUCGGUCUGGGGAGUAACAGUGCAGAGAUCUACCUGUCUUGUUGCCACAUGUUUCUAAACUUUCCAAUAAAUCACCUUCUACUGACAAA
ensembl:lncRNA ZNF667-AS1 ZNF667 antisense RNA 1 (head to head)